AUUGAACGCUGGCGGCAGGCCUAACACAUGCAAGUCGAACGAGUGGCGGACGGGUGAGUAAUGUCUGUGAAACUGCCUGAUGGAGGGGGAUACCUACUGGACACUGUAGCUAAUACCGCAUACCAUCAGAUGUACCCAGAUGGGAUUAGCUCGUUGGUGGGGUAACGUCUCACCAAGGCGACGAUCCCUAGCUGGUCUGAGAGGAUGACCAGAAACACUGGAACUGAGACACGGUCCAGACUCCUACGGGAGGCAGCAGGGGGGAAGAUUGCACAAUGGGCGCAAGCCUGAUGCAGCCUAGCCGCGUGGAUGAAGAAGGCCUUCGGGUUGUAAAGUACUUUCAGCGGGGAGGCGUUACCCGCAGAAGAAGCACCGGCUAACUCCGUGCCAGCAGCCGCGGUAAUAC
rnacentral:rRNA from 1 species